rnacentral:rRNA from 1 species
GAUGAACGCUGGCGGCGUGCCUAAUACAUGCAAGUCGAGCGAACAGACGAGGAGCUUGCUCCUCUGACGUUAGCGGCGGACGGGUGAGUAACACGUGGAUAACCUACCUAUAAGACUGGGAUAACUUCGGGAAACCGGAGCUAAUACCGGAUAACAUGUUGACCCGAAUGGUUCAACAGUGAAAGACGGUUUUGCUGUACCUUAUAGAUGGAUCCGCGUCGCAUUAGCUAGUUGGUAAGGUAACGGCUUACCAAGGCAACGAUGCGUAGCCGACCUGAGAGGGUGAUCGGCCACACUGGAACUGAGACACGGUCCAGACUCCUACGGGAGGCAGCAGUAGGGAAUCUUCCGCAAUGGGCGAAAGCCUGACGGAGCAACGCCGCGUGAGUGAAGAAGGUCUUCGGAUCGUAAAACUCUGUUAUUAGGGAAGAACAAAUGUGUAAGUAACUAUGCACGUCUUGACGGUACCUAAUCAGAAAGCCACGGCUAACUACGUG